rnacentral:misc_RNA from 1 species
UUUCCGUAGGUGAACCUGCGGAAGGAUCAUUAUUGUAUAACCGAGGUGCGAGGGCUGUCGCUGACCCGAAAGGUCGUGCACGCCCGAGUGCCCUCACACACAUCCAUCUCACCCCUAUGUGCACCACCGCGUGGGUCCCCCUUUGGCUUGUUCGGAGGGGGGCUUACGUUUACACACAAACUUUGUAUGCAGUGUAGAAUGUAUUUUUUGUUUUUGCGAUCACGCAAUCAAUACAACUUUCAACAACGGAUCUCUUGGCUCUCGUAUCGAUGAAGAACGCAGC